CUCGCUGCCGCCUUGCAGUUUAAUCUCAGACUGCUGUGCUAGCAAUCAGCGAGACUCCAUGGGCGUAGGACCCUCCCAGCCAGGUGCAGGAUAUAAUCUCGUGGUGCGACAUUGUUUAAGCUGGUCGGAAAAGCGCAGUAUUCGGGUGGGAUUGACCUGAUUUUCCAGGUUCUGGUGGACAAUUUCCAGUCUGGAGUCUGCAUUUGGAGAGAUUCUACAGCACAUGCAUGAAUGAGGAGGAGGUGGUGUCCCAAGGGCAUUUAUAUCUUUGCUCUGUAUUUGGAGGAGAAUGGAGAGUUCCAAAUGAUCAGAGCUUGCACAUUACUAGAUCCCCUUUCUAGGGAAAAUGCUGCGAUCAAUUGAAGUUGUCAUCCUCAUGAAGCUCAUACUGUUUUGCCUGAAAAAUAAAUGUAAAUGCACAUUCUUGGUCUUAAAAUACAUAGAAACAAUACUUUUUUCCCUGCUACUAGCUUUGUAAGAUAAAUAGGGUUCAUGUUUAACAUAUAUACUCAAUACUUGGGCAAUUUGUCUUCAUCUAAUGAAUUAUUAUUUACCAUUUUUAAAUUAUCUGCUCAGAUUACAAGAUUCUUUUUAACAAUAACCAAAUUUUAAUUAGUAAAACUUUUGGUCACUUUAUAUUUUCUGAUGUGCAUAUUACAAUAAAAUAUUAUUUUGCUGAUUGAAU
rnacentral:lncRNA from 10 species